rnacentral:rRNA from 1 species
CCUACGGGAGUCAGCAGUGAGGAAUAUUGGUCAAUGGACGCAAGUCUGAACCAGCCAUGCCGCGUGCAGGAAGACGGCUCUAUGAGUUGUAAACUGCUUUUGUACGAGGGUAAACGCAGAUACGCGUAUCUGUCUGAAAGUAUCGUACGCAUAAGGAUCGGCUAACUCCGUUCCAGCCGCCGCGGUAAUACGGAGGAUUCCAGCGUUAUCCGGAUUUAUUGGGUUUAAAGGGUGCGUAGGCGGUCGGAUAAGUUAGAGGUGAAAUCCCGAGGCUCAACUUCGGAAUUGCCUCUGAUACUGUUCGGCUAGAGAGUAGUUGCGGUAGGCGGAAUGUAUGGUGUAGCGGUGAAAUGCUUAGAGAUCAUACAGAACACCGAUUGCGAAGGCAGCUUACCAAGCUACUUCUGACGUUGAGGCACGAAAGCGUGGGGAGCAAACAGGAUUAGAUACCCGAGUAGUC